rnacentral:rRNA from 1 species
GAUCCUGGCUCAGGAUGAACGCUGGCGGCGUGCUUAACACAUGCAAGUCGAGCGAAGCGGUUUCGAUGAAGUUUUCGGAUGAAUUUGAAAUUGACUUAGCGGCGGACGGGUGAGUAACGCGUGGGUAACCUGCCUUACACUGGGGGAUAACAGUUAGAAAUGACUGCUAAUACCGCAUAAGCGCACAGGGCCGCAUGGUCCGGUGUGAAAAACUCCGGUGGUGUAAGAUGGACCCGCGUCUGAUUAGGUAG